UGGUGGUUUAUGCAAAUGGCUAACGCAAGCAGUCUGUAAAACUGUCGCCGAAAGGCUUUGUAAGUUCAAAUCUUUCAACCACCAU
rnacentral:tRNA from 1 species